rnacentral:rRNA from 1 species
ACGGGGUGCAGCAGGCGCGAAAACUGUGCAUGGGGGAAACCACGAUGCGGGAAGCCCAAGUGCCAGCGCCAUGCGUUGGCUGUCCUCAACCGUUCAUUGGUUGGGAAGAAAGUGCUGGGUAAGACGGGUGCCAGCAGCCGCGGUAA